CAGUCUGUGUGCACACAGUCAGUACAGCUCCAGCAGUUUGUGUGCACACUGUCAGUACAGCCCCCCCAGCAGCAGUCUGUGUGCACACUGUCAGUACAGUCCUAGCAGUCUGUGUGCACACUGUCAGUACAGUCCUAGCAGUCUGUGUGCACACUGUCAGUACAGCCCCCCAGCAGCUGUCUGUGUGCACACUGUCAGUACAGCCCCCCCCCAGCAGUCUGUGUGCACACUGUCAGUACAGCCCCCCAGCAGUCUGUAUGCACACUGUCAGUACAGCCCCCCAGCAGCGUCUGUGUGCACACUGUCAGUACAGUCCUAGCAGUCUGUGUGCACACUGUCAGUACAGUCCCAUCAGCAGUCUGUGUGCACACUGUCAGUACAGCCCCCCCCC